GGGUCAGUAGGUUGGUCGUGCCACCGGUACGUACUGGUCUCACUGAUUCCUCCUUCCUGAAGAACCGUAAUGCCAUUAAUUUGGUGUUGCGGGGAAACCGGACUGUUACUUUGAAAAAAUUAGAGUGUUUAAAGCAAGCUAACGCUUGAAUACAUUAGCAUAGAAUAAUGAAAUAGGACGAUCGAUCCUAUUUUGUUGGUUUCUAGGAUUGACGUA
rnacentral:rRNA from 1 species